UCCAAAUCAAGCAUGCGGGAGCAGAGGAGUUCACCCAUCACAGGAGAAUAGGUAAUAGAAUGUGCAGGUGCUCCAGCUGGGGCAUAGACAGACAGGGACACCUGAAGAUCUCCCCUAGGGCCCUGGAAGAACUGGCUUCAAGACUCUGAAGUACUAGACUUACUUGUGACUGACUUAUAUUUCCUCUGAGACCUCUUCUUGAUCCAUGGCAACAGAGAAGAAGGUGCUUGCAUCUGCAGUUGGUGACCCAAGCUCCAGUUUCUUUUGCUCCCAAUGAAUGCGAACAUGGCCACAUUGGAUGUGAAAGGCAGCUCCCUUCCUGGAUAAACAUACAGCCAGCUGUGCCAAACGCUUUGAUGAGACACUUGGGUUGAUCAAGCCAAAUGGGAGAUUACCACUAAAUGGCCUAAAGACUAGGUGACUGCUGCAGAAACUGAACAUCCAGUGCCUUCUGUGGCAUUUCUAUGUCGGACUGGAAAAACAUGUGGGUGCUCCUCAAACAGAUAUUGAGAAUUUUUCUCAUCAACCUGCUC